GGCGGUGUAGCUCAGUUGGUUAGAGCAACGGAAUCAUAAUCCGUGUGUCGGGGGUUCAAAUCCCUCCACCGCUACCA
rnacentral:tRNA from 1 species